GGGUGCGGCCGACAACACGCUGCCCAACGAGCUGCACUGCUAUGACGUGGACUUCCAGACCUGGGAGGUCGUCCAGCCCAGCUCCGACAGCGAGGUUGGUGGGGCUGAAGUGCCCGAGCGAGCCUGUGCUUCCGAGGAGGUGCCCACCCUGACCUAUGAGGAGCGGGUUGGCUUCAAGAAGUCCCGAGAUGUGUUUGGCCUGGACUUUGGCACCACCUCAGCCAAGCAGCCCACCCAGCCUGCCUCGGAGGUACAGGCUGGGAUCCUCAUUAAGACUCCAUCACCCCCUGAAACAGGUCCUGUGAUCAACACCUCUCACACAUGGGGAGACUGAGGCCCCGAGAAAUACUUGCUUGGGGUCACACCACAAAGGGGGUACAGGGCCAAGGGCCCUCACCCUGCUGGCCAGGCUG
rnacentral:lncRNA from 10 species